CCUACGGGACGCAGCAGUGGGGAAUAUUGCGCAAUGGGGGCAACCCUGACGCAGCAACGCCGCGUGAUUGAAGAAGGCCUUCGGGUUGUAAAGAUCUUUAAACAGGGACGAAGAAAUGACGGUACCUGAAGAAUAAGCUCCGGCUAACUACGUGCCAGCAGCCGCGGUAAUACGUAUGGGGCAAGCGUUAUCCGGAUUUACUGGGUGUAAAGGGAGCGUAGGCGGCCUGGCAAGCCUGAUGUGAAAUACCGGGGCCCAACCCCGGGGCUGCAUUGGGAACUGCCAGGCUGGAGUGCCGGAGAGGC
rnacentral:rRNA from 1 species